GGGGGGGGGGGGGGGGGGGGGGGGGGGGGGGGGGGGGGGGGUUUUUUUUUUUUUUUUUUUUUUUAGUUCCAUGAUACAGAUGAGAUUUCAGUGACUAGUCCUGGGUGAGUCCAAUUUGCAAACUAAACUCCACUGUUCCUCGUGCUUGGGAGGAAGUGUGGUUCUCACUCCUUGGGGUAAAUCCAUGAACCCAAACCCCAGUCCUGCACCCUGGUCAUCACUUCAUCACCUGCUCAGCAUCAGGAUGGAGGAGGAUGGCGGUGUCAGGAGAAGAUUGGACUCUUGCAAGACAAAGCUUUCAGCACCAAACCUUAAACCUUCUGGUUUUGCCAGCACCCGGUGGGCUUUGUUGCGCCUGAUUGGAAUUUGUACAGCGGAGCAGCAGCAGCAGCAGCAGGCACAGCCCUGGCUGGAGCAUCACCGGCAACAGCAAAGGCUCCAAGAGAAGUGGAAGCUCAGACCCCCUGCACUGGAAAGCUCCAGGGAUGCUCCGUGUCCCAGUGCUUGGGGUGACCCAUCAUCCAAACCGUGCAAUUACAGCUGGCUUGGGCAGUGCAACAGGCAGAAACACUGACAUCUCUAUCUGGUCACCAGGGACUGAUGGCCUGUGCUGCUGUGUGAUGGUGGGUCUUUGGGAGAUGGAAAGAGGGGAGAUG
rnacentral:lncRNA from 12 species